GUCCAGAUAACUCAGCUGGUAGAGCGUUACGCUUUGAACUUAACAGUACAGGUUUCGAACCCCCGUCUGCACG
rnacentral:tRNA from 1 species